AAGCCCAGCUCUCAGGAGAAGAAGAACAAGACACAGGGGCUCUUCCUCAGCUACCACUGAAUACCAGGGCACCUGUAGUAUUUCUUCAGGAGAGGGAGAGUCCCUCAGAAGGAAAGUGACAUGUCUGCAUGGUGCCACGUGGACUGCAUGACAAGGCAGGGUCUGAGCAGGAAGGGCAAGCCAGAGGAAGACCAUCCAGGAAAAGAAGGGAACAGCAGAGGAAUGUAUUCCUUGAUGGUGGCAUCUCUUUUGAAAUACCACACCACAUCCUACGAACGUGUUAGAAAGAAGAAACAACACUUCUACCAAGUAUUGCUGGACCUCAACUCUGGAAUGUAGAAAUAUCAGUCUGAAAGCCAUCUUGAGCUCUACAGUACCCAAUGAAGUUAGAUCAUUGCCUUCAAGAGGACUUAUGUGUAAAACUCCUACAGGCUGUAGACAUGACUAUGGGUCCAUCCAUAAGCCUACAAAGUCACAACAGCACAUGCUGUGUGGUAUGCUACCCAGACCCCUUAAAGGACAAGGGCAUCCUCCCCAGCACUGGUGUUCUCCCAGGCUAGUCUCUCCUCUAGCCUGCCUGAAGGGAGUUUCCCAGCUCAUGUAAUGGCCUGGCUGAUUGAUGUGGGGUAUUCCAGCCUGUUCUCCCUGUUGAGCAGAGGACACUGAACAUCUUUAUCCAGCUCUGAGCUGCCCAGGGACCAAUUACAAAUAUACACAGCCCUGCCUCUCUGUGUCACUGGCUAUCCCUUAUAGGUGGUACCAAUUUCCUGUGCUAUUUUCUACAACAGAAGUCAUUUCUCAGGGAAAUUUAACCCCAAACAGUCAUGUAUCUUUCUUCCUUCAAAUUCCAGAGAAGGGCACAGUAGGGAAAAUACCUCAAGAUACAUGAACUGGCUAGGGUUUUCCAAACAGGACUCCAGUUGCUUGGGACAUAAUGCCAAUAACUGAAGCUAGAAGGCAGAGGCCCAGGAAAUGGCUAACAUAAUCAUCUAAAGAAACAGCUCACAGAACCUUUGCAAGCUACACAUCCAACAGAGGAGAAUUAGCUGGAAUAUGAAGAAGAAAAACCCCCAAACCAAAACCCAAAUAAACUUCAAGAAGCUAAACAAGGAUCAAAAAAGCCUACAAUAAAGGAGCCAGUGAAGCAAGCAGAGUCCUCAAAAGAUGAGGCGCAAAUUUCUAUUAGACACAUGAAAGGAUGGUCAGCCUCACUCUCCAUCAGAGGAAGGGAAAUUAAAGUUACAGUGAGAACCCAUCAGAGUGACAGUCAUUAAAAAAGCAAACACUAGUGACAACAGAUGCUGGUGCAGAAGGGGUGAAGGGGCUCUUAGACCACUGGUGGGAAUGGAAACCAUGCCCGCCUCUGUGGAGAUCAGUGUGCAAAUUCCUUCCACACCCAAACUAGGGGCUAGGAAGAUGGUGCAGGGUAAAAGGUGCGUAUUCAUUGUGUCUGUUCCAGACAUCCAUAUUCACCAGCUCACCACUGCCUGGAACUCCAGCUCCAGGGGAUCUGAUGCCCCCUUCUGGACUCUUCAGGUGCCUGCCUGCAUACACGAACACCUCACACAGACACAUAACUUUAAAAAGUGAUAAAAAUCUUCAAAAAAUUAAAAACACAUCUACCACAUGAGACAGCCAUACAAAACCCGGGUAUGUAUCCAAAAGAUCAGAACAGGCACUUCGCAGAGACACUUGCGUCUCGUUUACUAGAGCUUCAUGCACAGUCAUGAAGUUAUAGAACCAAUGUAGGUGUCUAACCUCAGGGGAAGAGAUAAGGAAAGUUGGUUUAUAUACGCAUCAGAAGUUAUAUCAGCCAUAGAGAUGGAUGAAGUUUUAUCAUUUAUAGGACAAUGAAUUCAACCAGACUUCAUUAUAAUAAAUGGAUUAAGC
rnacentral:lncRNA from 1 species